CAAUAGCGUAUAUUAAAGUUGUUGCGGUUAAAAAGCUCGUAGUUGGAUUUCUGCUGAGAACGACCGGUCCGCCCUUUGGGUGUGUAUCUGGCUCUUUCUUGGCAUCUUCUUGGUGAACGUUGCUGCACUUGACUGUGUGGAGCGCUACCCAAGACUUUUACUUUGAGGAAAUUAGAGUGUUUCAAGCAGGCAUACGCCUUGAAUACAUUAGCAUGGAAUAAUAAGAUAGGACCUCGGUUCUAUUUUGUUGGUUUCUAGAGCUGAGGUAAUGAUUAAUAGGGAUAGUUGGGGGCAUUCGUAUUUAACUGUCAGAGGUGAAAUUCUUGGAUUUAUGAAAGACGAACUUCUGCGAAAGCAUUUGCCAAGGAUGUUUUCAUUAA
rnacentral:rRNA from 1 species